ACUCCUACGGGAGGCAGCAGUGGGGAAUCUUGCACAAUGGAGGAAACUCUGAUGCAGCGAUGCCGCGUGAGUGAAGAAGGCCCUUGGGUUGUAAAGCUCUUUCGUCGGGGAAGAAAAUGACUGUACCCGAAUAAGAAGGUCCGGCUAACUUCGUGCCAGCAGCCGCGGUAAUACGAAGGGACCUAGCGUAGUUCGGAAUUACUGGGCUUAAAGAGUUCGUAGGUGGUUGAAAAAGUUGGUGGUGAAAUCCCAGAGCUUAACUCUGGAACUGCCAUCAAAACUUUUCAGCUAGAGUAUGAUAGAGGAAAGCAGAAUUUCUAGUGUAGAGGUGAAAUUCGUAGAUAUUAGAAAGAAUACCAAUUGCGAAAGGCAGCUUUCUGGAUCAUUACUGACACUGAGGAACGAAAGCAUGGGUAGCGAAGAGGAUUAGAUACCCUCGUAGUCCAUGCCGUAAACGAUGUGUGUUAGACGUUGGAAAUUUAUUUUCAGUGUCGCAGGGAAACCGAUAAACACACCGCCUGGGGAGUACGACCGCAAGGUUAAAACUCAAAUGAAUUGACGGGGACCCGCACAAGUAGUGGAGCAUGUGGUUUAAUUCGAAGAUACGCGCAGAACCUUACCAACACUUGACAUGUUCGUCGCGACUCUAAGAGAUUAGAGUUUUCGGUUCGGCCGGACGAAACACAGGUGCUGCAUGGCUGUCGUCAGCUCGUGUCGUGAGAUGUUGGGUUAAGUCCCGCAACGAGCGCAACCCUCACUUUUAGUUGCCAUCAUUAAGUUGGGCACUCUGAAAGAACUGCCAGUGAUAAGCUGGAGGAAGGUGGGGAUGACGUCAAGU
rnacentral:rRNA from 1 species